rnacentral:tRNA from 3 species
GGGGCGGUAGCUCAGCCGGUUAGAGCAGGGGACUCAUAAUCCUUUGGCCGCGGGUUCGAGUCCCGCCCGCCCCACCA